rnacentral:rRNA from 1 species
UACGGGGGGGGGCAAGCGUUGUUCGGAAUUACUGGGCGUAAAGGGCUCGUAGGCGGCCAACUAAGUCAGACGUGAAAUCCCCAGGCUCAACUUGGGAACUGCGUCUGAUACUGGAUGGCUUGAAUUCGGGAGAGGGAUGCAGAAUUCCAGGUGUAGCGGUGAAAUGCGUAGAUAUCUGGAGGAAUACCGGUGGCGAAGGCGGCAUCCUGGACCGACAUUGACGCUGAGGAGCGAAAGCUAGGGGAGCAAACGGG